rnacentral:rRNA from 1 species
AUUGAACGCUGGCGGAAUGCUUUACACAUGCAAGUCGAACGGCAGCACGGACUUCGGUCUGGUGGCGAGUGGCGAACGGGUGAGUAAUACAUCGGAACGUGCCCAAUCGUGGGGGAUAACGUAGCGAAAGCUACGCUAAUACCGCAUACGAUCUAAGGAUGAAAGCGGGGGAUCGCAAGACCUCGCGCGACUGGAGCGGCCGAUGGCAGAUUAGGUAGUUGGUGGGGUAAAGGCUCACCAAGCCGACGAUCUAUAGCUGGUCUGAGAGGAUGAUCAGCCACACUGGGACUGAGACACGGCCCAGACUCCUACGGGAGGCAGCAGUGGGGAAUUUUGGACAAUGGGCGCAAGCCUGAUCCAGCCAUUCCGCGUGCAGGACGAAGGCCUUCGGGUUGUAAACUGCUUUUGUACAGAACGAAAAGCUCUGGGUUAAUACCUCGGGGUCAUGACGGUACUGUAAGAAUAAGCACCGGCUAACUACGUG